GGGGAUGUUCUGGUGCAAACUGGGCUGGAGCGCAGAUAGCACUCGCAUGGCUAAUGGCCGCUGACGCGGCAGAGACAAAACUGGUGACUGACCCCGGCUGCAGCGGCGGGAGCGGACUAGAGUCAGGGCAGCCGAGGAUGGGACAGACAGGACAGACGGGACUCCCGCUUUUGGUGCGGUCAGCGCGGUAACUACGGUCCAUACGGCAGGACAGACCCUUACUCCCCCCCCAGCACGGCCAGUGGACCGGCCGCGGGCCAGGCGGCCACGGGCCAGGCAGCUGGACUGGGAUAGAUAGAGCCGACGCAGGGGCUGGGGGGGUGGUGUAACCGCGAACGAGUAGGGGGAACAACCGGGAAAUGAAUGAGGAUAUUAUAUUUGGCCUCUGGGAUUAACAGGAAGGAUCCCAGCCCCCUUUUGGAGUGGAAGUGGAAUCAAACCAGCACCUUUAUUAUUUCAGGGCAAAGACACCCACAUUCCCAAGCUGUCAUCUGCAAAUCCAAAAGGAGAACUGUCUCCUUCUGAUCAGCCUGAUGAUCACCACAGACCUCUCCAUCUGGGCUGCAGUUCCGGCAAAUAUUCAGGUGUGAAGUAGACUUGAAGCACUUGAAAUUCUCAGAC